rnacentral:lncRNA from 1 species
AGGUUGUCCAAGGAGGAGAUUGAGAAGAUGGUUCAGGAGGCCGAGAAGUACAAGUCGGAGGACGAAGAGCACAAGAAGAAGGUUGAGAGCAAGAACGCCUUGGAGAACUAUGCCUACAACAUGAGGAACACCAUCAAGGACGAGAAGAUUGGGGCCAAGCUGCCGCCGGCCGACAAGAAGAAGAUCGAAGACUCGAUCGAGACUGCCAUCCAAUGGUUGGACAGCAACCAGCUGGCGGAGGCCGAUGAGUUUGAAGACAAGAUGAAGGAGUUGGAGAGCAUCUGCAACCCAAUCAUCGCCAAGAUGUACCAGGGAGCUGGGGGCGAAGGUGCCGGCCCAGUUGAUGAUGAU